rnacentral:rRNA from 1 species
GACGAACCGAGCGAACGUUGUUCGGAAUCACUGGGCUUAAAGGGCGCGUAGGCGGGCAUUCAAGUCCGUGGUGAAAUCCGGCAGCUCAACUGUCGAACUGCCGCGGAUACUGGGUGUCUCGAGGGAGGUAGGGGCGUGCGGAACUAUUGGUGGAGCGGUGAAAUGCGUUGAUAUCAAUAGGAACUCCGGUGGCGAAGGCGGCACGCUGGACCUUUUCUGACGCUGAGGCGCGAAAGCCAGGGGAGCAAAGCGGG